rnacentral:snRNA from 1 species
AUUCUUACCUGGCAGAGGAGAUACCAUGAUCAAGAAGGUGGUCUUCCCAGGGCAAAGUUUUUCCGUGGCACUCUGAAUGUGCUGACUCCUGUAAUUUCCCCAAAUGUGGGAAAUACAACUGCAUAAUUUGUGGCAAUGAGGGACUCAUUCAUGCCCUCC